rnacentral:rRNA from 1 species
GCGAUCAUAUCAGCACUAAUGCGUCGGAUCCGAUCAGAACUCCGAAGUUUAGCGGGCUUGGGCGAGAGCAGUACUAGGAUGGGUGAUCCCCUGGGAAGUGCUCGUGUUGCAACA